CUACGUGCCAGCAGCCGCGGUAAUACGUAGGUCCCGAGCGUUGUCCGGAUUUAUUGGGCGUAAAGCGAGCGCAGGCGGUUAGAUAAGUCUGAAGUUAAAGGCUGUGGCUUAACCAUAGUACGCUUUGGAAACUGUUUAACUUGAGUGCAAGAGGGGAGAGUGGAAUUCCAUGUGUAGCGGUGAAAUGCGUAGAUAUAUGGAGGAACACCGGUGGCGAAAGCGGCUCUCUGGCUUGUAACUGACGCUGAGGCUCGAAAGCGUGGGGAGCAAACAGGAUUAGAUGCCCUGGUAGUCCACGCCGUAAACGAUGAGUGCUAGGUGUUAGACCCUUUCCGGGGUUUAGUGCCGCAGCUAACGCAUUAAGCACUCCGCCUGGGGAGUACGACCGCAAGGUUGAAACUCAAAGGAAUUGACGGGGGCCCGCACAAGCGGUGGAGCAUGUGGUUUAAUUCGAAGCAACGCGAAGAACCUUACCAGGUCUUGACAUCCCUCUGACCGCUCUAGAGAUAGAGUUUUCUUCGGGACA
rnacentral:rRNA from 1 species